AGACGUCUACAUUAGAUACCCCCGUAGUCCCAGCCGUAAACUAUGCGCGUUAGGUGUAUCGGUGACCACGAGUUACCGAGGUGCCGAAGGGAAACCGUGAAACGUGCCGCCUGGGAAGUACGGUCGCAAGGCUGAAACUUAAAGGAAUUGGCGGGGAGCACCACAACGGGUGGAGCCUGCGGUUUAAUUGGACUCAACGCCGGAAAUCUCACCGGAUAGGACAGACAUAUGAUAGUCGGGCUGAAGACUCUACUUGAUGAUCUG
rnacentral:rRNA from 1 species